rnacentral:lncRNA from 1 species
GGGGAGGAGAUGGAAGAUGGGCUGGAGCUGGGUUCUGGUCGUGGACACCGGCAGGUUCUCCCUCCCCCUUGGCCCUCCCCCAGGUCUCUCGGGACAAAUGCUGGACCCAGAAGCCCAGUUCCCGGACCUGGGAGAGGAUGUCUCCUUCUCCAGGCCCCACCCCUCGCCGCCCUGUGGUCCUCAGCCUGGAUAGACCCUCAGCCUGGGACCUUCAGCCUGGGUGGACCCUCAGCCUGGAUGGACCAUCAGCCUGGAUGGACCCUCAGCCUGGGACCUUCAGCCUGGGUGGACCCUCAGCCUGGGUGGACUCUCAGCCUGUGAUCUUCUGGAGGUCAGGGGUCAGGCUGUGGGUUUCACUGGGAGGACCCUCAUGGUGGAGGUUGGGGGGACACCCCUGAGGGUCUGGGUGUCCUGCAGGGCCUGUGGGUGAGGAAGCAGCUGCAUGGUCCCUGGGUGGGCUCAGUGGGCAAGACCAGCGGGGCCAGCCUGGUGCCGUCUUCCCUCUCCUGCUGCUCCCUGGGCCCGCCGGGCCUCCUUACGGCCCGUCCUCAGCACCUCUCUCUGGCACCUUCCAUCCUGGAUCCUGGGCAGAAUCUGGACUUCCUCUUCUCCCCGUGCUGGACACCGGGGAGGACAGGGUGGAGCAGAGGCGAGGCCAAGGCUACAGACCCUCCUCUCUUCUUCCCUGGUCCGAAGCUGGGGGUCUCCUUGAGGGUCAAGAAGUGGUGCCAGGGGCACGGCCAGAUGUCCUGGAGAGGACUGCAGAGUGUCCCAUCAAAGGACAGGGCUCAGCCUUGGCUAAGGAAGAGCGCACAGAGCUGGCGACAGAGGAAACCAAGGCCGGGCCUAACCAGCAGCACAGGCGUGGAGCCGGCAUGGGGCUGCCUGACGAGCGUCCUCCCCGGAGGAUGGAUUGGGGGUCCUCUCCCUCCACCCUGGCCCACCCUAGCCCAUGGAGCUGGUGGGGGGGCCGGGAGGGAGGCACCUCAGGGGCGCGGCCUCGCUGCUGAAAGCUCUGUGGUUCUCCGAGGACAGGGCAUCCUGGGUGAGGUGGCUGGGACGUGGGGCGCAGGCUGGGCAUGGGCUCAGGGAGGGUGGGGUCCCCAAGGGCAGAAGCAGGUACUUCUCCUCGCCGGUCGUUGGCUCUGAUGCUGCAGGAGCAGCCUGGCUAGAAGCCACCAGCAUGCACGCAGCUUGGGGAGGGCUGGUCCAGCGUAGUGGUCUCCUCACCGCCCUGGGCUGCGCCUGCUUGCUCCGUCCUCCCCACAAAGCCCCAGACCCUAGAGCCAGUCCCAGCCCUGCCAGUCUCCACCCCCUCCCCACAGUUCUCUAUGGGGGGCUCUCCUCCCUGUGUGCCCCCUCCCCCGGCCCAGGAAACCCAGCCCUGUCGUCUGUGCCCCUCGCCCCCUCUUCCCCACUCCUUAAACAGUUCCCACAUCCAGGGUUAGGAGCUCGUGGGCGCCUCACAGCUCACGGCCAGACUGCGGAGGAGAUGCACAAGUAAAUGCGUAGUGAAGCAGGAGGCACCCCCCAGCCCACCAUGCCUCGAGCUGCAUCCCUGCUCAGAGCGGGUCUCGUGGUGUGGCUGGGGAGCACGUCUCCCAUCCAUAGGGUGGUGGCCUUGGGGAGCUUCCAGCUGGCACUUCGUGCCCAGCACAGCUCUGCUCUCCUGUCCCAUCUCUGCGGGCAUCCUCAGCCAGGACAGCUCACUUGUAGCCUAAAACCCGGAAUAAGCGCAUGUGGGGAGUAGGAUGCACCAGGCAGAGCAGCCACUGGCAGAACUGGGCGGAGGCCAGGCUGCAGCUCCUGGGGCAGCAGGACCCUGGACGGCACUAAGACGGCCCCCGGAGGCCCAGGCGGGUCCCUCCCUCUGCUUCUUGGCUUGCCGGGCGAGAGGAAAGGCCCCCAGUUCUGCUGAGCUUACCACUUUCAAACUCCUUCCUGAGGUUUUUUUUUUUUUAAUGAUUAGGGAGUUGGUCCACGUUGGCUCAUCCUGGCAGCAUCACAGGCAUUGCCAAACUCUCGGAACCGCCCGUGGGGCUGGGGCCCGCCUGGGGCACUCUGCUCCUCCUCUGGAGCUCCAGGGGCCCCAGCAAGAUGCUUGGCUUCCAUGACACGUGCUCCGAAGUCCCUGGUGAUGGGGCCUGCUCCAGAGAGAGAUGACAAUUUGGCUCAAAGAGUCGAGAGGACUCUGCCCAGGAUCACACCCCUGGCUCCCUCCAGGAACGGCAGGUCACAGUGAGGAGUCCAGCAUGUGGGAGAAUCUCCAACCAGACGGGUGCCUCUGCUGUGUUGGGAGAUUUAUGUCAUCCAAUAGUCACUCAACAAACACCCCAGGCAUGAAGCAGAGAGUCUGUGUCAUGGCAGGAAAGGGGUAGUCUUUGCCCAGAGACUGCUGUCACCAGGAAGCCUGACCUUUCCUUAGGACAGCAGGAGGUGGGAACUCAGCGUCUUUCAGGCCUCUGUGACCAAGCAGACCUGCUCCCCUGGGCUGGCCUGAGGGUGGCCGUGGAGGGGUGGGGCCCGGCGCUGGUGGACCCAGGACCUCGUGAGGGGCAGGUGGGAAGCAGAGUGCUGGAUUCUGAGCCCAGGGGCAGCCCGGGCAGGACAGGUCAGGAGGAGAGGGGCUCCUCAGGCCUCCUGGGGGGCUGGUUCUCCAGCUCUUUGCAGACCAGCAGGAACCCUCACGACCAC